AAUAGAUACCCCGGUAGUCCACGCCGUAAACGAUGUCGGCUUGGAGGUUGUUCCCUUGAGGAGUGGCUUCCGGAGCUAACGCGUUAAGUCGACCGCCUGGGGAGUACGGCCGCAAGGUUAAAACUCAAAUGAAUUGACGGGGGCCCGCACAAGCGGUGGAGCAUGUGGUUUAAUUCGAUGCAACGCGAAGAACCUUACCUACUCUUGACAUCCACGGAACUUUUCAGAGAUGAAUUGGUGCCUUCGGGAACCGUGAGACAGGUGCUGCAUGGCUGUCGUCAGCUCGUGUUGUGAAAUGUUGGGUUAAGUCCCGCAACGAGCGCAACCCUUAUCCUUUGUUGCCAGCGGUCCGGCCGGGAACUCAAAGGAGACUGCCAGUGAUAAACUGGAGGAAGGUGGGGAUGACGUCAAGUCAUCAUGGCCCUUACGAGUAGGGCUACACACGUGCUACAAUGGCGCAUACAAAGAGAAGCGACCUCGCGAGAGCAAGCGGACCUCAUAAAGUGCGUCGUAGUCCGGAUUGGAGU
rnacentral:rRNA from 1 species